rnacentral:rRNA from 1 species
UACGGGGGGGGCAAGCGUUGUUCGGAAUUACUGGGCGUAAAGGGCUCGUAGGUGGCCAACUAAGUCAGACGUGAAAUCCCUCGGCUUAACCGGGGAACUGCGUCUGAUACUGGAUGGCUUGAGGUUGGGAGAGGGAUGCGGAAUUCCAGGUGUAGCGGUGAAAUGCGUAGAUAUCUGGAGGAACACCGGUGGCGAAGGCGGCAUCCUGGACCGGCAUUGACGCUGAUGAGCGAAAGCCAGGGGAGCAAACGGG